rnacentral:rRNA from 1 species
AUGGGGGCGGUGGCCGCUUCCGAGCAGAGGGCGAAGAAAACGAUGAAGGAAGCAUUAGAGGAGAUAGAGCCGCUCCCCUGGAGGAUGUCCGAACUGCUGCAGUACCAUAGCGGGCGGCGCCUCAGUGCUGCCGAUGACCGAAUAUUACAGAUUUUCCGGCUCGUUGUGGUCGAGCUGAGAGACAUCGCAGCAUCACUGGACCAGCUUCUGCCACUGCUGGAUCUCAGACCGUACCAUGUCGAGAACUAUGAGCUGUGGCUGCUCAAGUUGAGGAAUCUGGCUCGAUAUAUCGGGAACCACCUCGAUAAGUACGAGCGUUUCAUCACAAGAAAAGAACAGGAAACGUAUGUGCGAACUGCCUGCUUCCGUUGUGAUUCAGAGUUCCGGUUACCGCAUCCGGAUGUAACGCGACUCAUCGAGGAAGAGCUUUCCUGGAUCAACGGACAACCUUACAGGUACGAGCAUCUUAUGUUGGCCGGAGAUGACGAUAGUAUCCCCUUAAGUGGGAUGCCGCAGCUGCAACCCUACGCGACGGAGGCCGGGACCGUUGCACGCGGGGACCUUCUUGUUGGCAUCGAGAGCACCAGAAAGAAGCUGCUCAGGUGGUUCACGCCCGCCCAGGAAGACAACAUGGCUCUCAGUAUCGUGUCCAUGGUUGGACCCGCUGGGGUGGGGAAAACGGCUCUUGCCAAUGAGCUCUACCGACACCUCCAACAAAUCGGAGGUGAUGGACCCUACUUCGAGUGCUACGCUUUGGCCAAUGUGUCCCCGAGGCCUUGCAUCAAGGUGCUUCUGAGACACAUUCUCUGCCAGAUCGACAAACAAGCAGCUAUAGCACCAGCGUCGAUAUCCACGGGGACAUCCGAAAUCACCAUGUCAGAAGACGGCGAGGACCAGGAUGAGCAGGAGCUGGUUCGCAACAUUGAUCAGUACCUUCAAGACCGCAGGUACCUCAUCGUAAUUGACGAUCUUUGGAAAGAAUCCGAUUGGGAUAUCAUCAGCAGUGCUUUGCCACGUAAUAACAGAGGAAGUCGGAUAAUAGUAACUACACGAAUCAGGAGCGUGGCUUGGUACACAUGUUGUUCCAAUGGUCUGAUGCAUGAGGUUAAGCCUCUUAACGAGCUAGAUUCACAAAUGCUUCUGUUGCAAAGUGUUUUCGGCUCCAAGAACUAUUUGUGGCCAGACAAUUUGAAGCAAUCUCGUGAUGAAAUUUUGAGACGCUGUCAAGGUAUACCAUUCUUCAUAUCUGGUAUGGCUGACUGGUUGAGAGAACAAGAGGUCCAGAAAUUCUAUAGCAACGGUAGCCUGGACUGCCUGGUAGAAGAAGUUCCCCAAUUUCCCAGACUGCUCAAGCAAUUCGAACAAACAUUGUAUCCUACUUAUGAUGAUCUUCCAUACUGGUCGAAAGUAUUGCUGCUAUACAUGAGCAUGUUUCCUGAGGGUUAUAUGUUUAACAAGGAUAGUCUCAUUCGGAAAUGGAUCGCCAAAGGGCUGAGUGGUUCGUAUGAAGAAGCAGAGGCGUGUUUCUCCAUGCUUAUCGACAGGAACGUCGUCACGCGAGCAAUAAACAUUUGGGAGCCCACCACUCAAGUGGAGGAAAAUUGCCGUUGGCAAGUAAAUUAUUUCAUGCUGCAGUUCCUGGCUUACAGAUUGGAUGACAAGGGCUUUGCUUGUGCCAGCGGCAUGCGCUGCGCUUCUCCAGAAGCAAUGGGAAACAAGAAACUGCGGUGGUUGUCUGUAAACCAGCCUGACCGGGAGCUCGAAAUGCUUCUGAGUAGAAGAAGCAACCUUUCUCACUUCCACAACGCUCGUUCGUUAUCUAUAUCUGGUGCGGUGGACGACCUACUAUUCCCUCUUGAUAAGUUUAUCUAUCUGGUGGUGUUGGACCUUGAAGGUUGGCAGUGCUUCAAGGACGAAGACAUGUUGUUGAUAUGCAGCAGCAGGAUGCUCCUUCUCCGUUAUCUGAGCGUGAAGAAUACAAGAGUCCGCAAGCUCCCUGCCAAGAUCAAGGAGCUGCGCAGUUUGGAAACGUUGGACAUGAGCCACACAGAGGUCAGUGAGCUCCCAUCAGAAGCGUGCGAGCUGUCACGGUUGGAGAUGCUGGACCUAAGGAGCACGCCAGUCAGGCAGCUGCCGGAACAAAUCCGGAAGAUGCGGUCGAUGAGGCAUCUGCUCAUUGGCGAUUAUGGAGAUGGCCGCAACGGUGGAACGACAAUUCCCGAUGGGAUUGGGUGUCUCUUGGAUCUUCGUACUCUAGCAACCGUUCAUCUAAGCGUAUGCUCCGCAAGACUCGUAGAGGCGCUUGGUGGAAUGGAGAAACUAACAGAGUUGGCCAUAACAUGGUCUUUUCACCAGUGCUCCAACAGAAGAUACCAAGAAGCUCUGCACUGUUCCUUCCAAAAAUGGCGGGGGCUCAAGUCUCUGUCGAUCCAUGGCGGACAAGGUUCUUGCGUUGAGUUCCUAGAUUCUCUGCCUGAUCAAGGUCGGUCCAAUGAUCUUGAGAAAUUCAAGGUGACGGGUGGUGGAAGGUUCGUCAGGCUUCCACAAUGGUUCCAGGGGCUCGAUUGCCUUGCUUUUGUGGAGAUCACGGUUUUGAGGCUAGUGACAGAAGAUCUGAGUAUCCUAACGAACUUGCCGAGCUUGGAGCACCUUUCGCUCGGUCUGGACUUCCUCCCAGAGGAAGCAAUAGUGAUUGGCAGGGCUGGGUUCCGCAAGCUUGAGAGGUUGUGCAUUGGCUGCCGAUUCCCAUGGCUCACUUUCAGCCAAGGUGCCAUGCAGAGGUUAAGAUAUCUCGAGAUGAAGAUUGGCGGACACCCAGUGAGUCGAUCAGGCAGCGUUCUUGCGGGUAUCAACAACCUCUGCUCCGUGUCGGAGGUGUCCAUCCAUUACAACGUACGCUACAGCAACAACCGUGGUGUCAUCUUGACGAUUGAGACGGUGAGGAAGGAAGUAGCUGAGCAUCUGAACCCGAUCAGCGUAUUUGUCAACGGCAUACAAGAUCAAGAUGAGAAUUUUGAGGCAGUUGCAGGGAUCAGUGGCGAUGGGGGUGUUGAAGGGUUGCAUUAG